rnacentral:rRNA from 1 species
CAGCCGCCGCGGGAAUACGUAGGUGGCAAGCGUUGUCCGGAAUUAUUGGGCGUAAAGGGCUCGCAGGCGGUUUCUUAAGUCUGAUGUGAAAGCCCCCGGCUCAACCGGGGAGGGUCAUUGGAAACUGGGAAACUUGAGUGCAGAAGAGGAGAGUGGAAUUCCACGUGUAGCGGUGAAAUGCGUAGAGAUGUGGAGGAACACCAGUGGCGAAGGCGACUCUCUGGUCUGUAACUGACGCUGAGGAGCGAAAGCGUGGGGAGCGAACAGGAUUAGAUACCCCAGUAGUCCCUGUCUCUUAUAA